GGAUUAGAUACCCUGGUAGUCCACGCCGUAAACGAUGUCUACUAGCCGUUGGGGAACUUGAUUCUUUAGUGGCGCAGCUAACGCACUAAGUAGACCGCCUGGGGAGUACGGCCGCAAGGUUAAAACUCAAAUGAAUUGACGGGGGCCCGCACAAGCGGUGGAGCAUGUGGUUUAAUUCGACGCAACGCGAAGAACCUUACCUGGCCUUGACAUGCAGAGAACUUUCCAGAGAUGGAUUGGUGCCUUCGGGAACUCUGACACAGGUGCUGCAUGGCCGUCGUCAGCUCGUGCCG
rnacentral:rRNA from 1 species